AUCAUCUGUUCCCAGGUUCAUUUCUUCUAAGAGUUCUACUACCUCUUUUAGAAUUCCCGACCUGGGUUUUCAGGUAUUUUCUUUUCUUCAGGUUUUGUCGUCAGGACCCUUUUUGUGCUGGUUGCUAAAGAGUAUAGUUCGGGUGACUUGGUAUUCAAUACCAGGAAAGCAACAUUUGUCUUGAUAGGUCCAGCUUCCACUCUCAGAGUGAUCUCACCCAUCGGAGAAGUCCUUGAGCCGUUAAAACCCAUAAUUGCUGAGUUGUUAUCUCAGCGCUCCUUCUUUAGUGAACUCCACAUUUUCUGCUACUUGGAGGUAUAUAAUGUCACAAGUUGAUCAUUGAUGUACAAGGAUAUUCCUGUAAUCCCAUCCGCCAAUGACAAGUUCAACUACCAAGGCGUCUGAGUGCGGGAAAUUUCACCGGUUAAGUCUUUGGUAGUGAACCUUAUUCAAUCAGGUCGAUUUGAGCGUCAGGUCCAGAUCGAGGCGCAUAAUGGAUCAUGUUUACUAGCCCCUUGACCUGUCUAGGUGGAGAUCUAUUAUUCUGAGCUAUUAGUUCUAGUGCAACAAACUCAGUCAGAUGUCAUUUCUUCAGCAUAUCAUCAAUGAAUCUUAGUACAUUUUUGCAACCGUUUGCGUGGUAGCCACUUGUUUCAUGGUAAGCACAGAACGAUUUGUUAUUUCCUUCAUUUCUCAUCUUUCUUGGAGAUGAGAAGUACAGCUUAUUUUUCAUAUGUUUCAGUAUGACCUUUGGAGGUGUAUUGAAUUUUGCAAAUUUUUUGCUUUCCUCUAGCCAUUUCGCUGCUGAUUCAGCUCUGUAAUUUCUUUUUUUAAAAGGUCAAUCUAGUGAUCUCGGGGAAUAGGGCCUUUUGUCACAUGAAUGU